AAUUACUAUACCUUCCAAUUCCAUAUUAUAAAUCUUGGAUUUAUUUACACGAACUCCAAGAAUACCAAACUCGAAAUAUCUAUAUAAAGCCCAUUGCCAAGGAUGGAGAUGACCAGUAUCAACCACAUCCCUCUCCAAUAAUCACAACCCAAUCCUCCAUAUCUGUAAGCAAAGCCUAGGAAAGAUGGAGAAGGGUCAAACCAAGCUCAGUGCAUUGGCAAUUCUGCUGGUGAUUGCAUCAUGUUUUGUGGUCUCGCAUGCCGGGGAACUGUAUUGCCAGACCGACCUGGAUUGCAAACCCAAGCAGUGUGAAGUUGGGUAUGCUCCCAUCUGCGUGCAAGGCCUAUGCAUAUGCAUCAGAACCAAGAGCCUGGACGGCCCGAUCGCACCUUGCGGCAAGCCUGAAGAUGGUCUCCCUAUCUGCGGUCAUCCGACAGAGCCAUGAUGCUCACCUGUACCGAGGGAUAUUGUGUCUGCAUGUGUUGAUGUUGUGUGCGUGCUUGUGAUUGUGCUGGAGAUUGUUUGAAUGCAUCGAUUUUGUUCUCAAUAAGACGUGUUGACCGACGUAAGUAUUGCCUUGUCCUCCAGCA